CCUCGCGACAGGCGCAGCGCUCCCCCGCAGAUCGCCCAUUGGCCGAGGCACCCGCUUGUAAUGGUGGCGGUACCGCCCCUCCGGCAGAGGGAGAGCCCCCCGGGGAGUCACUGAGCACAAGAUGGCGGCGCUGGCCGCCCGCCAGAGCUCAGGCGGGGCUGCUGCCGCCGCCAUUAGGCCCCUUCCCCUCCCCUCCGGUACAGCCUUGUGUCCGCCUAGAGGAGGCCCGGGCAUGGCAGUGAGGAAGCGGCCGACUUUGCUCACCGCGACCGGACCAGCUCCGACCUCAGCCGGCCCACGCUGCAACCAGCGGCUCCGGCACGGGACUGCCCCGCCGAUCGACCCAGUACGCCACAAUGGUCGUUUCCUCUGCAGGAGCUGUAGACCAGGCCAGACCACGGCCGGUGCUCGCUUACUAGACAAAUACCGGAGCCGUGCAAUCCCCCUCCCCUAAACCCACCGUCACCCCACCCCUCCCCUCGCGGGGGUGUCCAGAGUAGGGCCCGCUGCCGCCUCCCCGCGCCCCCUCCCUCGUCCGGACCCCCACGAGACAAACCCACCAGGCCGCUUCAAUUUUAAAAAAUGUUUUUUACCUCAGGAAUGGGCGCCAAAGGUGCAGUGGCGGUGACCCGACCGGGCCCGGGCAGGCCGGUGCCCAGCAGCGGCCCUCCCUCCCCCCGCGGGGGCUGCAAGGGGCUGUGGGGCCCGCGGAGGGGAGGGGGCCGGGGCUGUGUUGGGGCCGGGGGUGUUUUGUUGUGUGUGCCGUGCCCUGUGACAGGUCAGAGUUCGUGACCCCACCGCCGCCGCCCGGUAGCGCGUCCCCGCUUCCUCUUCCAGCGCCAGCCCGGCCGCGGCCCCUCCAUCCCCCGCGGGGCGGGGCCGGCGGCGGGGAGGGGCUACCGGGCUACCUGGGCCUGCGAGCCCGCCGGGCCGCGCCGCUCGGCCGGGCCUCUGCGCGGCCGGGGGAAGCGCGUUCACCGCCCUGGUGCCUCUCGCUCGGGAGGCUCCUCGGGAGCCGGAAGGCCGAGGUAGCGGGUUGGCGGUGGCUGUCCAGAGCGCUGAUGGUAUUGAUGUUCCAGGUGUAUCUUGGUGCUCGCUGGCGAUGCAGUAAAAAGUGGGCUCACAGUUGAGCAAGCUCACAAACGCUGCCGGCAGAGUGUCGAGUUUUUAUUUAAUUUUGUGAAGUCAAUGUCAUUGAUUAGGGCUCUUACGGCAAAGCUGGUUGUGAGGUAUGUUGUGCCUUGAAACACACAAUAAUAGGCAUGAAACAGGUUUGGGUGUAGCUGAGGUGGUUUAAGAGUUUACCACCUUUCAGUGCUUGUCUUCUCACAGGCUAUCAGAUGUUCACCACCUGUCAUAACUAGCUAUUUCUUAACCUACUCAUAUUAAAAUGUUCUUAAUGCUUCUAGUAAGUUUCCCUUGAGUCUAAUUUUUACAGAAGCUAAUUUAAGGAGCAGUUAGAUGAAUAAGGUAACACCUGAAAGAAAACAUAUGGAAGAGGUAGCAGUUGAAUGCAACAAUCACAGAAACAAGAGGUUGCUGUUGACUGAAUAGUUACGCAGUCAGUAUGCUGAUAUUUUUUUGUUGGAUUUUUCUUCAGAAGGUUGUUCGUAGUUUUUGUUUAGAACUGGCUCCUUGGGGUGAGGGUAUGAUUAAUAUACCCAGACCUAUGAAUAACAGCCUUACUUUCACAGAACAGAAAUUAAUAAAGCAUGUGAUGUGUAGAUGUGUUUGCAAUACACAAAUAAAGGAAAAUGUUUCAAAAAUGUC